GCCAAGGUAGCUCAGCUGGUUAGAGUGCUCGACUCAUAAUCGAGAGGUCGGGGAUUCAACUUCCCCCCUUGGCA
rnacentral:tRNA from 1 species